rnacentral:lncRNA from 1 species
AGUUAUAAUUAGAGAAUUAAAAAUCCACCAACCAAACAUAAAACUAAAAAUAAUCCAACUAUAUCCUUUAUAAAAGCUACAUUUCAACUGAGAUAACUCAGAAAAACUUGAAGGAAACUGGUAAAUGCCAACAAAGAGAACAUAGAAAUUUUAUUAUUAUUGCAAGACAAAGGAUUAAAAUGGGACAGAAGUAAUCAUGAAGAUGAAAGGUAUAAGCCACAGUAAAAUUUUUAUGGGGUAGGUUAUAUCAUAGUAAACAUUACUGGAAAACACAAGGAAAAGCAGAGUAAUGAGACACACUACUAUGUUUCUUUUGGACAGAUUAGAGUAUUCGUAACCUCUAUCAUUCUUAUCUAACUUAAUCAUUAAAGUUGCUCUAAGAGAUACACAUUGAGAGCUUUACCUGUAAAUAGAAAUGAUGUCUUCUUUGGGCCCCAGGGAAAUUUUUUUUCUAGAUCAUAAAUCUAAACUUCCAGCAAACUGAGAAUAGUCCAAAAACAUUGUUUAACCACAAUGAAAUUUCAAAAAUGUACAUGAAAUUUAAAAACCCAGAUUCUUGUGUGCCCCCAUCUCCUAAAUAACUUGAUUGGAUCAAAAAGGAAGGCAAAACUAACAAAAUGUCCAGAAGAAAUCCCUAGAAAAAAUUAUGGAAAAUGCAUAUUAACAUGGAGAUGUGGGAUGCCUGGGUGGCUCAGUAGUUGAGCAUCUGCCUUUGGCUCAGGGUGUGAUCCUGGGUCCAGGGAUCCAGUCCCACAUCAGGCUCCCUGCAAGGAGCUUGCUUCUCUCUCUGCCUAUGUCUCUGCCUCUCUCUUUUUCUCGCUCUCUCAUGAAUAAAUAAAUCUUUAAACAAAACAAAAACAUGGAGAUGUGAUGAAAGCAGAACACAGAGGGAAAGUAAUACAUUUAAGUUUCUUAGCAAAAGUGAAGAAAAAUCAAGCAUUUCAGCUCCAGAUGUUAAAAAAAUAUGUAAAGUUAUUAAACAUAAAAAUACUAGAAAACAAUAAUAGUACAAUUGAUAAAUUUAAGUGUUAUUUCUAGUUAUAACAGAUACUUUAGCCUAAUUGAGACAAAAAACAAAACAUGAAAAAUUAGGAGUGGAAAGGCUAAUUAGGAAAAAAUGUAUUUUAUGUGACCCUUCCUGUGGGGUAAGGGGGUGUCAGCCAUAUAUAACUUUUGACUCUCCAAAAACUUAGUAGCCUGUGGUUUACCAGAAGCCUUAUUGAUAACACAUUUUGUAUGUUAUAUUAUAUUCUUACAAUAAGCUAGAGAAAAGGAAUGUUAAAAUCAUAAAAGACAUAUACUACAUGCUAAUAGAAAAGAUUCCUCAUAUAAAUGGGUCUGCCCAUUUAAAACGUGUUCAAGAGUCAACAUAUAUUCAUAAAUUUGAAACUCAAAUGGAUACUUUUCUAGGAAAAUAUAAGUUACUCAGAUUAACUUGAGUGGAGAAAACUCAUAAAGAUUGGCAGUAUUAAUAACGCAAAGUGAGGAUUAAAGAGCUAGCAAUUCCUCUCAGCACACAUACACUCAGUUUUGUUGCUAAAUUCUGCCAAACAGAUCAUAACUAUGGUACUUAUUCUUCCUGAGUAUAGAGAGAUGAGAAACUUUUUCUUAACUUUUUACCACCCUGUUGGUUGUGUUUCAGGCAUCCAUUUUUCCUUGCCUUCUUCCUAAAAAGAUUCCUGAUUUUGUCAGGAAUGCAUUCCCUCCUUAGCUCUAGUGAGUGGUCAGAGCUAAUUAGUCUAAGAGCCAAUUAAUGGGAAGGAAAUUGUUCCAGUACCAUUUGUUGAAAAAACUACUCAGUGGAGAAGAAAUGGGCUUUUUAACAAGUGAGACAGUUGGAUACCCACAUGCAAAAAGAUGAGUCUGGGGCUCUGCUUCACACACAUACACUAAGAUCAACUCAAAAUGUGUCACAGACCUAAAUAUAAGAGCUCAAAAGAUAAAACUCUUAGAAGACAUAGGGCCAGGCAAAUACUUCCUUAGAUGUCACAUGAAAACCUCAAGAGAUGAAGGAAGAAUUUGACGAAUUGAACUUUAUUGAAAUGGAAACUUCUUUGCUUUGGAACACACCCAGUUGCCUCUACACCAUUAGGAAGAGAGCCAAUCCGAUGACAAAUGUACUACCUUGAGAUGACAGAGCAGGGGGCAAGAACCCGAGUUUCUGAAAUCAUUGGGUCUCCGAACUAAAGAGCCUUAAAACUAGCUCCACCUCCAUAGUGAUAAUUAUGUGAGAUGGUCAGUUUCCUUUUUUUUGAAAGUUAGAGUUGACAUUUCUGUUUUGUGCAGUUGAAUGGAUCUUAAGGGAUACGUAGUGAAAUAAAAAGGUAGCCCUAGAAGAUAGCACAUGAUGUAUGAUAAUACACAUUGUAGGCUGUAUUGGCAGAAUUGCAGAUUAUAAAGAUGACAGAUUUUAUUUCAAAAUAUAGAAUUCUGACAGUCUAGAAAUUUCCUUUUUUAUUUUCCCAACUGCAGGAUUUUGAUAAUGAAACUUAAACUUUAGAAAUUAGAAUCCAGCAGUUAAUUUAAAAAUAUCAAGUGGAAUUUUGUUUAGUAAUAAGAACAGUAUCAUUGAAAUUAUAAACAAAUCAAUGGCAGAAAACUAUGGUUUUCUAUGGUCUAUAAUCUAAAUAGGUGUUAGAAAGUUAUUUGAUAGAAUUUAAUACCUAUUAUUUUAAAAGGAAAACAAGGAUAGAAGAAUUUAAGGGUAUGUUCCAUCUUAAUGUAGUCGAAGAUGUGUCUCAAAUUAACAGUCUACACUACUAAAAAAAAAAAAAAACAGUCUACACUACUUAUUACAGCAUAACUCUAGAAACGUUUAUUUAAAUAUCCCAAAUAAGGUUAUUGGAGCCACUGAGAAAAUUUUUUGGAAGUGCAACACAAUGUUAAUUUGAUACUGAAAAAUAAACAGCGAAGGACAGAAAGGAAGUAAAAUUAUUGCAAUUCAAAGAUAUUAUAUGGUUAGAAAAACAAAAAAGGUCAACUGAUGAACUAUUAGAAGCAAUUUGCUAGGGUGCUUGUUUACAAAUGAAGUGUAUGAAAGUGUUCAUUGCUUUGAAAACGUCAGGUUCUUCCCCACCCCAGGCCCAUUGCAUAUGGUAUUCCCUUUGCUCAUUACUCAUUACCACACACACCUGGUCAACUCAUUCAGCCUUCAGAUCUCAAGUGACACUGCAGAGAGCUUUGACGUUUCAAAAUUGGGUCCCUUGUGCUCACCAGUUCAGGUUCUGCUUUUCUUUCAUAUAGAACUUACCUAUAAUUUUACAUUAUGUGGUUUUUUGUUACAGCUUGUCACUCCCUUCAGAGAAUGGAGACUGUGUCUGUUUAGGUCACCAUUUUAUAUCUAGCACCUACUAGAUGCUAUCUGCCACAUAGUAGACAUUAAAUAUAUAUUUAUUGGUGAAUGAAUAAAUGCAUAAUAAUUUAAAACAAGUUUUAGGAGUAGCAUACAUGUGACAUUUUAUGAUGCUGUAUAGGCAGUUUCCUAACACAGCUCCUAUCAGCAACCCGCAGCACUGUUGUAGAGAUCAGUCUGGUCUCUCAUUCUAAUAAAGUAAAUAUGAAAUUCAUUUGCAAGUAUACAGGCAUACCUUGGAGAUGUUGCAGGUUCAGUUCUAGACCACCACAGUAAAGCAAAUACUGUAAUAAAGCAAGUCAAAUAGAGUCUUUGGUUUCCUAGUACAUACAAAUGUUAUGUUUACCCUAUACUAUAGUUCAUUAAGUGUACAAUAGCAUUAUGUUUAAAAAAAUGUACAUACUUUAAAAAUAUUGCUAAAAAUGCUAACCAUCAUCUGAGCUUUCAGGGAGUCAUAGUCUGUUUGCUGGUGGAGGGUCUUGCCUCCAUGUUUAUGGCUGCUGACUGAUCAUGGUGGUGGUGCUGAAGGCUGUUGUGGCUGUGGCAAGUUCUUAAAAUAAGAGCAGUGGUGUUUGCUGCACUGAUAGGCUCUUUCUUUCAUGAAGGAUUGCUCUGUAGCGUUUGAUGCUGUUUGUUAACAUUUCAUCCACAGGAGAACUUCUUUCAGACGGGGCAUCCUCUCAAACCUUGCUUCUGCUUUAUCCGCUCAGUUUAUGUGAUUUGUCACAGCAUCUUCAAGUGUGGAUUCCAUCUCAAGAAGCCACUUUAUUUGCUAAUCCAUAAGAUGGAGAUCCUUGUCCAUUAAUGUGUGAGAUGGUAGCAGUUCAGUUCCACCUUCACGCUCCACUUCUGAUUCUAGUUCUCUUGCCAUUUCCAUCACAUCUGCAGAGACUUCCUCCACAGGGUCUUGAACGUGUUGAAGUCAUCCAUGAGGGUUGGAAUCAACUUCUGUCAAAGUCCAGUCACUACUGAUAUUUUGACCUCUUCCUAUGAAUCAUGGAUGUUCUUAGUGGUAUCUAGAAUGAUGAAUCUUUUCUAGAAAGUUUUCAAUGGACUUUUCCCAGAACCAUCAGAGGACUUCACUGUCUGUGGCAGCAAUAGCCUCGUGAAAUGCAGUUGUUAAGUAGUAAGACUUGAAGGUUGAAAUGACUCCUUGAUCCAUGGGCUGCAGAAUGGGUAUUGUGUCAGGCAUGAAAACAUUUCUCUUACUGCCCAUCUCCAUCAGAGCUCUUGUUUGACCAGGCGCAGUGUCAGUGAGUAGUAAUAUCUUGAAAGGAAGCUUUUUUUUUUUUUUUAAUUUUUUAUUUAUUUAUGAUAGCCACAGAGAGAGAGAGAGAGAGAGAGGCAGAGACACAGGCAGAGGGAGAAGCAGGCUCCAUGCACUGGGAGCCCGAUGUGGGAUUCGAUCCCGGGUCUCCAGGAUCGCGCCCUGGGCCAAAGGCAGGCGCCAAACCACUGCGCCACCCAGGGAUCCCGAAAGGAAGCUUUUUUUCUGGGCAGUAGGUCUCAAUGGUGGGCUUAAAAUGUUCAGUAAACCAUAUUGCGAGUAGAUACAUUGUCGUCCAGGCUUUGUUGUUGGAUUUACAGGACAGGGAGAGUAGAUUUAGCAUAAUGCUUAAGGGCCCUAAAAUUUUCAGAAUGCUAAAUGAGCAUUGGUUUCAACUUCAAUACAGUUACCAGCUGUAUUAGUCCCUGACAAGAAAGUCAGCUUGUCCUUUGGAGCUUUGAAGCCAGGUGUUGACUUCUCUCUAGGUACGAAAAUCCUGAAAGUCGUGGAUGGCAUCUUCUAAUAUUGGACUGUUUAAUCUACACUGAAAUCUGUUGUUGAGUGCAGCCACCUUCAGUAAUGAUUUCACCUAGAUCUUCUGGAUAAUUAAUUGCCUACUAUUUCUAUAUCAGCAUUUACUACAUCAUUUUGUAUUUUUAUAUUAUGGAGAAGGUUUCUUCCCUUAAACUUCAUGAAUCAGCCUCUGCUAACUUCAGACUUUUACUCUGCAACUUCCUCACCUUUCUUAGCCUUCAUUGAAUUGAGGAGAGUUAGGGCUUGGCUCUGGAGUAGGCUUUGGCUUAAGGGAAUGUUGUGGCUAGUUUGGUCUGUAUAUCACCAAUAAGGCUGUUUCACUUUUUUUUUUUUAGGAUUUUAUUUAUUUAUGAGAAACAGAAAGAGAGAGAGGUGGGGGGCAGAGACAGGCACAGGAAGAAGCAGGCUCCAUGCAGGGAGACUGAUGUGGGACCUGAUCCCGGACUUUUGGGAUCAUGCCUGGGCCGAAGGCUGGUGCUAAACCGCUGAACCACCCAGGUAUCCCCUUACUUUCUUAUAAUUCAUGUAUUCACUGGACUAGCACUUUUAAUUCCUUGAAGAAGUUUUCCUUUGUAUAUUCUACUUGAAUGUGGUAUGCAAGAGGCCUGGCUUUUGGCCUGUCUCACUGUGACAUGCCUUCAUCACUGAGCUUAAUCAUUUGUAGCUUUUUUUUUUUUUUAAAGAUUUUUUUUUUUUUCUUUCUUAAAUUCAAGAGAGACUCAGAGGAGAAGGGGAGAGAGAGAGAGAGAGAGAGAGAGAGAGAGAGAGAGAGAGAGGCAGAGACACAGGCAGAAGGAGAAGCAGGCUCCAUGCAGGGAGCCUGGUGUGGGACUCGAUCCCAGGACCCCAGGAUCAUGCCCUAAGCCAAAGGCAGACACUCAACCGCUGAGUCACCCAGGCAUCCCUCAUUUGUAGCUUUCAACUUAAAGUGAGAUAUGUGACUCGAACACUUAAAGGAUCUUGUAGAGUUAUUAACUGUCCUAAUUUCAGUAUUGUAUCUGAGGGAAUAAGGAGGCCCUGAGAGAGAGGGAGAUAUGGGGGAAUGCCUGGUCACUGGAGCAAUCAGAACACAACGUUUAUUAAGUUCAGUGUCUUACAUUGAUGUGAUUUGUGAUGCCCUCCCACAUUACAAUAUUAACAUCAAAGAUCACUGACCACAGAUCACCAUAGCAAAUAUAAUAAUAGUGAAAAAAGUUUGAAAUAUGGUGAUAAUUACCCAGAUGUGGCUCAAAGACACAAAGUGAGCAAAUGCUGUUGAAAAAAUGGUGCUUAAUGCAGGGUUGGCAUCAACCUUCAAAUUGUUAAAAAGAAAAAAAAAA